rnacentral:rRNA from 1 species
CAAGUCGAACGGUGAACCCGACUUCGGUCGGGGGAUCAGUGGCGAACGGGUGAGUAACACGUGAGCAACCUGCCCCUAGCUCUGGGAUAACCCCGGGAAACCGGAGCUAAUACCGGAUACGAGACCGAGCGGCAUCACACGGUCUGGAAAGUUUUUCGGCUAGGGAUGGGCUCGCGGCCUAUCAGCUUGUUGGUGGGGUAAUGGCCUACCAAGGCGACGACGGGUAGCCGGCCUGAGAGGGCGACCGGCCACACUGGGACCGAGACACGGCCCAGACUCCUACGGGAGGCAGCAGUGGGGAAUAUUGCGCAAUGGGCGAAAGCCUGACGCAGCGACGCCGCGUGAGGGAUGAAGGCCUUCGGGUUGUAAACCUCUUUCAGCAGGGAAGAAGCGAAAGUGACGGUACCUGCAGAAGAAGCACCGGCUAACUACGUGCCAGCAGCCGCGGUAAUACGUAGGGUGCAAGCGUUGUCCGGAAUUAUUGGGCGUAAAGAGCUCGUAGGCGGUCUGUCGCGUCGGACGUGAAAACCCAGGGCUCAACCCUGGGCCGGCGUUCGAUACGGGCAGACUAGAGUUCGGUAGGGGAGACUGGAAUUCCUGGUGUAGCGGUGAAAUGCGCAGAUAUCAGGAGGAACACCGGUGGCGAAGGCGGGUCUCUGGGCCGAAACUGACGCUGAGGAGCGAAAGCGUGGGGAGCGAACAGGAUUAGAUACCCUGGUAGUCCACGCCGUAAACGUUGGGCGCUAGGUGUGGGGAACCUUCCACGUUCUCCGUGCCGCAGCUAACGCAUUAAGCGCCCCGCCU